rnacentral:rRNA from 1 species
GAUGAACGCUGGCGGCGUGCCUAAUACAUGCAAGUCGAGCGAACAGAUGAGGAGCUUGCUCCUCUGACGUUAGCGGCGGACGGGUGAGUAACACGUGGAUAACCUACCUAUAAGACUGGGAUAACUUCGGGAAACCGGAGCUAAUACCGGAUAAUAUAUUGAACCGCAUGGUUCAAUAGUGAAAGACGGUUUUGCUGUCACUUAUAGAUGGAUCCGCGCCGCAUUAGCUAGUUGGUAAGGUAACGGCUUACCAAGGCAACGAUGCGUAGCCGACCUGAGAGGGGGAUCGGCCACACUGAAACUGAGACACGGUCCAGACUCCUACGGGAGGCAGCAGUAGGGAAUCUUCCGCAAUGGGCGAAAGCCUGACGGAGCAACGCCGCGUGAGUGAUGAAGGUCUUCGGAUCGUAAAACUCUGUUAUUAGGGAAGAACAAAUGUGUAAGUAACUAUGCACGUCUUGACGGUACCUAAUCAGAAAGCCACGGCUAACUACGUG